rnacentral:rRNA from 1 species
AAUUUUGGACAAUGGGGGAAACCCUGAUCCAGCCAUCCCGCGUGUAUGAUGAAGGCCNNNGGGUUNUAAAGUACUUUUGGCAGNGAANAAAAGGUAUCCCCUAAUACGGGAUACUGCUGACGGUAUCUGCAGAAUAAGCACCGGCUAACUACGUGCCAGCAGCUGCGGUCAUACGUAGGGUGCAAGCGGUAAUCGGAAUUACUGGGCGUAAAGCGUGUGUAGGCGGGUCGGAUAGAAAGAUGUGAAAACCCAAGGCUCAACCUUGGAACUGCAUUUUUAACUGCCGAGCUAGAGUAUGUCAGAGGGGGGUAGAAUUCCACGUGUAGCAGUGAAAUGCGUAGAUAUGUGGAGGAAUACCGAUGGCGAAGGCAGCCCCCUGGGAUAAUACUGACGCUCAGACACGAAAGCGUGGGGAGCAAACAGG